GCCAAGACAAUGGUUGAGGACAAUUUGCAAGGUCAAUAAAACCAAAGCACAAUCUUGGAUUGUUUUGGUUAUGUUCAACCUCUCCUUUUUGAACGAACUUCUUUUAAGAUUCUUGUCGCUUGCACGUGUUUACGUCGGGCGCAGCUCGCCACCAUCUGUCACGGCGGUCAACGGCGAAUCGACAAUACAAAUCUACAACGCUGACAACGCCGACAAGUCCACUCCACCUACAUACCAAUCACGUUGCUCCAGCUGUCACUAAGUUCCUUCCCUGCUCGGCGAAUACCGACCGUGGCUGUGCAGGACCUCCACACUUUCGCACCAGGCUUCGCCGCACUGCACAAGCACUACCUAUUGACGUCCGCAUCUCCCCCUACAACUGGCCAAAACAGACACGACUUAAAGCACCAACAUGUCCGUCCUGUCCCCUGGCUCCUGGUCUCAUCCUCAACGCAAUAGCGAUGAUACCCCAGCAGCAUCCUCCUCCGCCUCCGAUUCCUCCAAGCAAUCUCUGGUGAUCCGACGAUGCACGCCCGACUGGCUGAUUGCCGCGCUGGCUGCCGCAGUUGUCACGACCGGCAGCGGCCCCGUGGGCCCUAUGGGCCAGCCCCAAGGCCCGCCCCUGCCGCCAGCGAUCAUGCAGCUUCAGAGCAGAGCUCAGGUGACGGGGACGCUACUGUUCGAAUUCCCGGCUAGCCGGUUGCACUGUGAGAACCGAGUGGUGAGUGAGAUCAUCAGCCGCUGCACAAGCGCCGCCGUCACGGAGGCGACUUCGUGGUACGAUUGGCACUGAUUGUAUGGGCUGUAUGGGCUUGCACCAUUGACAACCUUAUAGCGUGCAACUGCUGGUGUAGCUGCUCUGGGGGUUGACCACCUAGGUGGUGGGGUUGCAGCCGCACCAGCUCACCAGCUCCUACACUCCACCCUGCAUUUGUAAUCCGAGACGGGGAUCCCGGACAUCUCGAGCAGGCCUUUGUGCAGUUUGUGCCGUGCUGCUACAGAGGUGAUCUGUGGGCCCACUGGGGUCUUAGUGCAUACAUUUUUUAUAAUUACGGACGGCGGGAGUUGCUACCUUCCCAGAGGACAGAAGUAGGACGGUUGUAGAAUUAGGAGUCAAAGUAUGAGCGCGACCACGCGCAAGCAAGGUGUUGGCGCAGGCAGCCGAGGCUGCAGCAGGCUGCAGCUCAUCCCUGCCGCCGCUGCUAAAACUGCUAGGUUGCGAUGCAGCAUCCCACUUUCACAGCAUGUAAUGCACAAAUUCAGUAGCACAUUGGAAUGGUUUCAGUGCUCAAUGACAAUUGUCAUGUUUUUAAUCAUGCAGUACAUCUGUUGAGUGAAAUGACCUUGUCCAGCCUAAUGAGUGCUAUGCCGUCGUCACAUCUAGCGAAGCAUUGAGGAUUGAGGUUACAGUGGAUAGGAUAAGGCCAGAUCACCGGUGCUGCGCGAACCCAAACACCGUACCGGCCAUGAAGCGCACUAAGGGGUAACCAAGGUGAAACCCGUGCCACGGCCCGGUAGCGAAAUAGUUGGCGUUACACGUGCAAGCGAUAAGUGAAUCGUGCUGACAUUGGCCCUAUGCCAAAAGUGGGUUCAACACAUUUUGAAUGUUAACUCUGACGAGGAAAGAAACGAUCAAGCGGGUCUCGAGCAUUCGGCAGGGCCACUACAGCUGUUGCGAGGGCAACCACUCGGCAACGACGUACUGGUACGACGCAAUUUGGCUCCGUUUGACGCAGCGGCAACCUUCAUUCGCCGCAGCAGUCAUUACGUAGAACACAUCCAGAAUAUGAGGAUACGACCAAAUCAAGAAUGAUUUCCCCUUGGCCGCAAGGGGCGGCAUGCUUGUAUCAACAGUUUGCCAGGGGGCCGA
rnacentral:lncRNA from 1 species